rnacentral:lncRNA from 1 species
AGAAAUCUAAUAACUAAAGCAGAAAAUUUGAACAACCUAAGGUUUAGAGAAAGUAAUGUAAAGGUAAUGUAUAACAAAAAGUGUGGUAAUUAAGAAUAUUAGUAUUAACAUAUACAUGGUGAUUAGUUUUUUGUUGCAUCAUUCAUAUCACAAGAUACUUAAAUAUAAGUAUUAACUGAAGAAAAAUCCUUCAGUAUUUCAAGUUCUUAAUCACCAUGAACUGAAAAAAGUUAUUGAAAAGUGACUGGUAGUUGUUUUCAUGAAGUAUGCCAAGGGAGAUAACUCUAAUCACAUUGAGAGGAGGUCCAUUUUAAAGCAUUUAAAACUAGUUAAGAUUGUUUUUAAUUAUAUUUAUUUCGGUAUUUAAGAUAUGUAUUUAAAUGAGCUAAUUUAUGUGUAUGCCUUCUCUUAAUCUUGUUUCUUGGUAUAUAAUUUUGAUAAACAUUUUUUUCAGCAUUUCUUUAAAAUGAUAACAUAACUUAAAGAAAUCAAAAACUUUUCCAAUAUAACAUUAGCCAUAGUCGUGCUUACAUCAAUUACAGAUAACUUUUCAUUUUUCCAAAAACUGGUUAUGAUGUUGGAUGCCAUUUCUUUUAACAAUAAGUUGUAACCGCAUGAAUCCCUAUAAGCACACUAAACUUCUAAGUGUAUUCUAAGUCAUACACCAUAUAUAUUACAAAUUUGUGAAGAAAAUUUUGAUUAAAAAUAAUUUUACUCAUCUGUACUCUGUAGAUCCUAUGUACUGCACCUGGACUGAAGACAAACACUGCACCUGGACUGAAGACAAACACUGCACCUGGACUGAAGACAAACACUGCACCUAGACUAAAGACUUUAGACAUAAUAUCCAAGUUAAAUGGGACUAGUGACCACUGGAACUAGCUCCUUCAAAAAACAUAGUCAUUAUUGACCUCUAUAUUGAUGUGUUAUGAUGAAAUCAUGUUUUUGAUAGUUGCAUUGAUAAAUGUUCAUGCAUUAAAACAUUGGAUUGACUUUGACCCAAGACUUAUUAUAGUUUCUCCAGAGUAUAAAUGAGUUUGUCAAUUUUAAGUGUUUAGAAAAUUUAAUUUUAAUAUUUACCAAUUUGUGAAAUUUGAUAGCAAGGCUAAUGGCUGGUGCACCAAAAUAGAUUUUCAUAAUUGGCUGUAUUUUCACUGAUAAAAAAUUCUGAAAAAUUGUAACAGCAAAUAGCUUCUCUUUAAAGCUGAUAUAAAUUAAGAGCUUUUGUUAAAUUUCUUUAAUUUAUGUUGCCCUCCUUGACGGAAGAAGACACAUUCAUGGCAGAUAGCAAAGUCAUAAUGUACGUAUUUCCUUAAAACUAUGUUCAUGUUUGUAAACAAAAUGGAUCAUUUUUGUCGAGCCUGCAACUUUUGUAGCAGAAAAUUUGACAGGGAUAUUGAUCUGGUGGCGGUGUUAGCUUUAUAUAUUAGAAGGUGGAAGACCUGUAUGCUUCAUACUUUGUAUAUAGAUGCCUCAUGUUGCGAAGUUUCCAUUGGUCACAUUGUCUUAUGUCCUUGACCUCAUUUUCAUGGUUCAGCGACUACCUUAAAAAAAAGAUUUUUUAUGCCCCACCUACGAUAGUAGAGGGGCAUUAUGUUUUCUGGUCUGUGGCUCCGUUCGUCCGUCCGUCCAUCCGUCUGUGCUUCCGUUCGUCCGUCCGUUCAGGUUAAAGUUUUUGGUCAAGGUAGUUUUUGAUGAAGCUGAAGUCCAAUCAACUUGAAACUUAGUAAACUUGUUGCUUAUGAUAUGAUCUUUUUAAUUUUAAAGCCAAAUUAGACUUUUGACCCCAAUUUCA